GAACGCAUGGCUUAGUGGUCAGAGCACCUGGACGGUAUACAGGAGGCGCGAGUUUGAGUACCGCUACGUUUA
rnacentral:tRNA from 1 species